GGUUAACAAGUUAAUAUUCCGAAGACAGCCGGUGUCCCUCACGGGACUUAAUUGAUGCCUGCCGAGGAAAUCUGAGACCGAUACACGGUUAAUGAAGUCCUUGCGCAUGCGGGGACUUUUUUAUUAUAGAA
rfam:Dehalogenimonas lykanthroporepellens BL-DC-9, complete genome.